CCUACGGGGGGCAGCAGGGAGGAAUAUUGGUCAAUGGGCGCAAGCCGGAACCAGCCAAGUCGCGUGAGGGAUGACGGUCCUAUGGAUUGUAAACCUCUUUUGUCGGGGAGCAAGGCCCGCCACGUGUGGCGGGAAGGAGAGGACCCGAAGAAAAAGCAUCGGCGAACUCCGUGCCAGCAGCCGCGGUAAUACGGCGGAUGCGAGCGUUCGCCGGAUUGAUUGGGUUUAAAGGGGGCGUAGGCGGAAGGUUAAGUCAGCGGUCAAAUGUCGGGGCUCACCACCGGCCUGCCGUUGAAACGGGUCUUCUUGUGUGAGCGAGCUGUCUGCGGCCUGCGUGGUGUCGCGGUGACAUGCAU
rnacentral:rRNA from 1 species